ACCAUCUCGAAUACCUUGACAAGAAAGUGAUUUGUGACGGUUUUUGUCAACGAACUGUACAGUGAUUAUUUAAAAACGCACAACGAACGCGACACAUUUGAUUGAACGAACAAUACAGUAAGAGAACAUUUAUUUAGUAUGAUAUUGCGUUUAUUCUAAGUUCUAGGGAACAUUUGAAGACACGUAGUAAUUCAACGUAUAGUUAUUUAUUAUUGCUUAAGGUAUUAAUAUGCAAAGGUGUAUGCACGAAAAGAUAUUCAGCAUUGUUUACCUCAUAAAACGUAUGAAAUUGCACCAUGUCUGUGCGUUUUGCAUCUAGCAGUUUUAUCAAACGUUCUAUGC
rnacentral:lncRNA from 1 species